GAGCUGGCAGAACCAUCAAUAAGAGAUGCAUUUGUUUCUUGCAUUCAACAAGGUGCAGAUCGUGUGAUUGUAAGCCCAUUUUUUCUCUUCCCUGGACGACACUGGCAUCAGCUGCUGAAGCUGCAAAAGAACACCCUGAUGUGUCAUAUAUCGUUACUGCACCUCUUGGUCUGCAUGAUCUACUUGUGGAUGUUGUUACUGAUAGGAUCAAACACUGUUUAAACCAUGUAGCAGGAGAUGCUGACGAGUGUGCAGCUUGUGCUGGUACAAGCAAGUGCAGGCUUUAUUAAUUUAGAAAUUUACAUAUUAUGAAAAUGUCUUACUCUAAGAGGCUAUUUCACUGUGAAAUCUGAUGGAAGCAUCUUGCAAUUGAAUAUAUAUGGGUUAUGCAAUUGUGUUGUGGCCAUGAAUCUAAAGGAUACACAAUAAGGUAAAUGGAAGCCUUUAUCAAGCUUUAUAUACAUGGAUGUUGCCUGCUGUCAAAGGAAGACCAAAGACAUGUUGCAUCCAGUUUUUCCAAUCUGCAGUUCCUCAAAAUUAAUGUGAUCUGAUUGUUUGUGUCAACUGAGUUUGGUACACUCUGGUGAGACCAAAUGGAAAGAAAAGUUGUAAGGUUGUUGUGAUUCUUUUGUGAAGACAUCAUUAAACCACCAUGUGAGAAUUUGGUGGUGUUAGACAUGAAAUCUAUUUGCUUAAUUUUUUAGCUGAAAUGAAAGUUGUGUUAGUGGUGCUGAUCUGGAUGGAA